GAGUACAGGGCUUUCUCACUCUUUCAUUAUCUCCGCUGAGAGGCCUGCUUUUUUAUUUUCUAACCUUUUAAAAGAAGCAGCGGUAGAGCUGAAGUCAAGGCCACGCCAUGUCUACAGAGAAGAAGCCGAAAAAGAAAAAAGAGGAGGCCAAUGGCACAGCAGAAGCCAAGCUUAAUGGAACUGAAGCCAAGCCCAAAAAAACAAAGACCAAGAAAAGUGAAGAUGUUUCAGAAGAGGAAAGCGCAGCAACACAGAAUGGAAAGAAGGUGAAGAAAAAGAAACCGGAAAAAGAUAAG